rnacentral:rRNA from 1 species
UUUGUCCUGGGGAAAGGCGGUAGGCAUGAUUCUUAGGCAAAUCCGGGAAUCUCUAUGCCGAGCACCGAGACGAGUCCUAUGAGGACGAAGUGACUGACACCACGCUUCCAGGAAAAGCCACUAAGCUUCAGCUGUAGAAAAACCGUACCGCAAACCGACACAGGUAGGCAGGGUGAGAAUCCCAAGGCGCUUGAGAGAACUCGGGUGAAGGAACUAGGCAAAAUGGCACCGUAACUUCGGGAGAAGGUGCGCCUCUUGGUGUGGUCACGUGCGUGACUGAGCAUCGAGGGGUCGCAGUAACCUGGCCGCUGCGACUGUUUAUCAAAAACACAGCACUCUGCAAACACGAAAGUGGACGUAUAGGGUGUGAUGCCUUCCCGGUGCUGGAAGGUUAAUUGAUGGGGUCAGCCGCAAGGCGAAGCUCUUGAUCGAAGCCCCAGUAAACGGCGGCCGUAACUAUAACGGUCCUAAGGUAGCGAAAUUCCUUGUCGGGUAAGUUCCGACCUGCACGAAUGGCGUAACGACAGCGGCGCUGUCUCCACCCGAGACUCAGUGAAAUUGAAAUCGCUGUGAAGAUGCAGCGUUCCCGCGGCAAGACGGAAAGACCCCGUGAACCUUUACUAUAGCUUUACACUGAACGUUGAGUUCUUCUGUGUAGGAUAGGUGGGAGGCUAUGAAACCAGGACGCUAGUUCUGGUGGAGCCAUCCUUGAAAUACCACCCUGAAGUGCUUGACGUUCUAACCUAGGUCCGUAAUCCGGAUCGGGGACCGUGUAUGGUGGGUAGUUUGACUGGGGCGGUCUCCUCCCAAAGAGUAACGGAGGAGCACGAAGGUACGCUCAGCGCGGUCGGACAUCGCGCACUGUGUGCAAAGGCAUAAGCGUGCUUGACUGCGAGAUCGACGGAUCAAGCAGGUACGAAAGUAGGUCUUAGUGAUCCGGUGGUUCUGUAUGGAAGGGCCAUCGCUCAACGGAUAAAAGGUACUCCGGGGAUAACAGGCUGAUACCGCCCAAGAGUUCAUAUCGACGGCGGUGUUUGGCACCUCGAUGUCGGCUCAUCACAUCCUGGGGCUGUAGCCGGUCCCAAGGGUAUGGCUGUUCGCCAUUUAAAGUGGUACGCGAGCUGGGUUCAGAACGUCGUGAGACAGUUCGGUCCCUAUCUGUCGUGGGCGUUGGAGAUUUGAGGGGGGCUGCUCCUAGUACGAGAGGACCGGAGUGGACGUUCCGCUGGUGUUCGGGUUGUCAUGCCCAUGGCAUUGCCCGGUAGCUACGAACGGAAGUGAUAACCGCUGAAAGCAUCUAAGCGGGAAGCACGCCCCAAGAUGAGAUCUCCCGAGAGCUUGACUCUCCUAAAGGCACCAUCAAGACUAGGUGGUUGAUAGGCACGGUGUGGAAGUGCAGCAAUGCAUUGAGCUUACGUGUACUAAUGAGCCGUGAGGCUUGACCAA